rnacentral:lncRNA from 1 species
GGGGUACUAUUAUUAUAUUCAGAGAUGUCCAUGUCAAAAGGUUGCUGCAGGAAAUGUCCUAUUUGCAUUUGAAAACAACAAUAGAAGCUCCUUAUCUAAAACUAAUUCUAAAACAAAAAUCUGAAGGAUGAAUGUAUAGGUUCGAUGUAUACAACGAAUUUGAAGAUUGAACAAUGCAGUUUCUGUAAUACCCCAUCCUCACACAAAUCUCAAAGCAUCAUAAAAAAAAAAAGGACAGCACGUGCACACAAAUUUGAAGAUUGAACAAUGCAGUUUUCGUAAUACCCCAUCCUCACA